rnacentral:rRNA from 1 species
AUGGUGCAGACAUGCUUGGACUCGGCCCUCCCAGCAUCGUCAGGCUUGCGUACGCGUCCACCGGCGAAAACAGCAACAGACGCGUCCUCUGAUGCAGACCUGGCAUGGCAUGCCCGCCGUGCGAGGCAGAAGACACGGGAGACGGCGGCAUCCCUCACGGCGGUGGACGUCGGCGAGGCGGAGUUGCAUUCUGCGGCGCCCCGUAUGGUUCAGCAGUCCGGGCGCCACAACCGCAUUGUGGUAGAUGUCGCCGGCUCGUCCCAGGGCGGAUCCAUCAUUGAUCUGGCAUCCACCGACACUGUCCGGGUUCCAGACUCCGACGAGAAAGAGUAA